rnacentral:rRNA from 1 species
AGUCGAACGGUAGCAGGCCUUCGGGCGCUGACGAGUGGCGGACGGGUGAGUAACGCGUAGGAAUCUGCCUCAUAGUGGGGGACAACGUGGGGAAACUCACGCUAAUACCGCAUACGCCCCAAGGGGGAAAGGAGGGGAUCUUCGGACCUUUCGCUAUGAGAUGAGCCUGCGUUAGAUUAGCUAGUUGGUAGGGUAAAGGCCUACCAAGGCGACGAUCUAUAGCUGGUCUGAGAGGACGAUCAGCCACACUGGGACUGAGACACGGCCCAGACUCCUACGGGAGGCAGCAGUGGGGAAUAUUGGACAAUGGGCGAAAGCCUGAUCCAGCAAUACCGCGUGUGUGAAGAAGGCCUUAGGGUUGUAAAGCACUUUCUCUGUG